UUAUAGGGCCUAAGAUCCUUCAUCACAAUCCAAUUUUGCAGAGCCACAUAUUAUCAUCAUUACAAUUUUAUCCAGUCAUAGGGACUCAUCCUUCAUCACAAAUUCACAAUCCACAAGGCCACACAUGUCAUUACAUUUCAAUAUGAUUGGACAGAAAAAGCCAACUAAAUAACCCUUCCACACUUUUUAUUUUUUCUAGGAUCAUAAGCAUCAUGAACAUUAUUGCACAAAUUUACCAUCAACAAAUCAUUACACAACUUUUUCAAGGGAAAAAAUCUUAUCUAAUCCACAUAGUAAAAAAAAUUCAUCACAAAAAAAUUGAAACAAUUCUACGACAAAUUCUUUUCCCAAAUGACUCAAGCAUACAAGGUGCAAGGUAGAAUUGAAAUAAAUUCAAACUCCAGAGUCCCAUCCAAAUCAUAAAAAUGGAAGAGAAAAUUGUGCAUCCCAGAACUUCCAAAUCCAAAUGGCAAAACUCAGUUGCCCGUAAUUCAAUAACAGAAAAAUAGUUGGGGAAAUAAAGAGAAACCAACCUUUCCAAAACCAACUCAUCCCCAAGAUAAUAAAAAGAUAGCACCAAUAAUCGAAAGCAAACCUUUUUUCUUUUCUAAGAUAUGAAUAUAUUCCAUAAGAGCAACGAUUUGCACAAAUUUUGUAAAACACAAAUUGACAAUGAAUUCAGUCAUUCAAUUAUUUUCUGUUUAUCCAUAACAUUUUUCAACAAAAUAAUUAUCUCAAUGUGUUUGGCAAUCAAUAAGAAAAACCAUAAUUAACUGAACUGUUCUGAUAAAUUUCAAAGCAUGAACAAAAGCACAUCAGAGAGGAAAUACUAUUUUGGAGUCAAGAGAUCCAUCACCACAUUCCAACCACAUUGGGGACGAGAAACCCUUCACCAAAUUUUAAGGUCAUAAGGUCAAUUAUACCAUCAAACUUCAAUAUUCAUGGGUCAAAAAAGGGAAAAUAACAUCAUUUUGCAACAUAAGGGUCAAGCAUAUUAUCAUAUCCGAUAUAUUCGGGUCAUAGGGAAUAAGAUCCUUCGCCAUAAUUCGAUUUCAUAGGGCCACGCAUCAUGUAUCCGAUAUUUUAGGGUCAUAGGGACUAUGAUCCUUCAUCACAAUUCAAUUCCAUAGGACCACACAUUAUUGUAUCCGAUUUUCUUGAGACAUAGGGACUAAGAUACUUUGCCACAAUUCAAUUUCAUAGAGCCACAUUAUCCGAUUUUAUCGGGUCAUAGGGACUAAAAUCUUUCAUCACAAUUCAUAGGGACACAUAUAUCGUUACAUUUCAAUAUCAUUGGACAGAAAAACCCAAGUAUAUUACCCUUCCACACAUUUCAGUUUUCAAGGGUCACAAGAAUCAUGAAAACUAUCGCACAAUUUUACCGUCAACAAUUCAUUACACUACUUUUUCAAGGGACAAAAUCUUAUUUGAUCCACAUAGUAAAAAAAUUCAUUGCAAAAGAAUUGAAACAAUUCUGCAACUAAGUUUGUCCUGCUAUAAAAGUCAAUCAUAUAUCAUUCUGCAACAAAUUCUUUUCCCAAAUGGCUCAAACAUACAUUGUGCAAGGUAGAAUUGAAAUAAAUUCAAACUCCAGAGUCCCAUCCAAAUCAUAAAAAUGGAAGAGAAAAUUGUGAAUCCCAAAACUUCCAAAUCCAAAUGGCAAAAUUCAGUUGCCCAUAAUUCAAUAACAGAAAAAUAGUUGGGGAAAUAAAGAGAAACCAACCUUUCCAAAACCAACUCAUCCCCAAGAUAAUGAAAAGAUAGCACCAAUAAUCGAAAGCAAACCUUUUUUCUUUUCCAAGAUAUGAAUAUAUUUCAUAAGAGCAACGAUUUGCACACAAAAUUUUGUAAAACACAAAUUGACAAUGAAUUCAGUCAUUCAAUUAUUUUCUGUUUAUCCAUAACAUUUUUCAACAAAAUAAUUAUCUCAAUGUGUUUGGCAAUCAAAGCUACUUGCAAUAAGAAAAACCAUAAUUAACUGAACUGUUGUGAUAAAUUUCAAAGCAUGAACAAAAGCACAUCAGAGAAAGGAAAUACUAUUUUGGAGUCAAGAGAUCCAUCACCACAUUCCAACCACAUUGGGGACGAGAAACCCUUCACCAAAUUUUAAGGUCAUAAGGUCAACUAUACCAUCAAACUUCAAUAUUCAUGGGUCAAAAAAGGGAAAAUAACAUCAUUUUGCAACAUAAGGGUCAAGCAUAUUAUCAUAUCCGAUAUAUUCGGGUCAUAGGGAAUAAGAUCCUUCGCCAUAAUUCGAUUUCAUAGGGCCACGCAUCAUGUAUCCGAUAUUUUAGGGUCAUAGGGACUAUGAUCCUUCAUCACAAUUCAAUUCCAUAGGACCACACAUUAUUGUAUCCGAUUUUCUUGAGACAUAGGGACUAAGAUACUUUGCCACAAUCCAAUUUCAUAGAGCCACAUUAUCCGAUUUUAUCGGGUCAUAGGGACUAAAAUCUUUCAUCACAAUUCAUAGGUUCAGGUCAUACGGACUAAAAUCCUUCAUCACAAUUCAUAGGGACACAUAUAUCGUUACAUUUCAAUAUCAUUGUACAGAAAAAGCCAAGUAUAUUACCCUUCCACACAUUUCAGUUUUCAAGGGUCACAAGAAUCAUGAAAACUAUCGCACAAUUUUACUGUCACCAAAUCAUUACACUACUUUUUCAAGGUACAAUCUUAUUUGAUCCACAUAGUAAAAAAAUUCGUUGCAAAAGAAUUGAAACAAUUCUGCAACUAAGUUUGUCCUGCUGUAAAAGUCAAUCAUAUAUCAUUCUGCAACAAUUUUUUUUCCCAAACGGCUCAAACAUACAUUGUGCAAAGUAGAAUUUAAAUAAAUUCAAAGUCUAGAGUCACAUCCAUCUCAUAAAAAGAAGAGAGAAAAAACAGGACAUCCCAGAACUAUCAAAUGGCAAAACUCAAUUGCCCGUAAUUCAAUAGCAGAAAAUUGUUUAGGAAUUUAAGAAAAACCAACUUUUCCAAAACCAAUUCAUUCCCAAGAUAAUCAAAAACUAACAUCACAAUAAAAAAGCAAACCCUUUUUCUUUUCUCGGACUUGAAUAUAUUCCAUAACAGCAAUGAUUUGCACAAAAAAAAAAUCCAUCUUUACAAUGGACCCCGACGUUAAGUAGGAAAAUGCAAAAGAUUUGAACAGAACCAACAAAAAAAA